rnacentral:rRNA from 1 species
AGCGAACGCUGGCGGCGUGCCUAACACAUGCAAGUCGAACGUGAAAGGGAGCAAUCCCAAGUAAAGUGGCGUACGGGUGAGUAACACGUAGGUAAUCUACCCCAGAAUCUGGAAUAACCGGCCGAAAGGCUGGCUAAUACUGGAUAGAGCGACGGAAUCCGUAAUUGGGUUUUUCGGGAAAGGGAGCCUGUAACACGGCCUUCGUUCUGGGAUGAGCCUGCGUCCCAUCAGCUAGUUGGUGAGGUAAAAGCUUACCAAGGCAAUGACGGGUAGCUGGUCUUGGAGGACGAACAGCCAAACUGGAACUGAAACACGGGCCAGACCCCUACGGGAGGCAGCAGUGGGGAAUCUUGCGCAAUGGACGAAAGGCUGACGCAGCAACGCCGCGGGAGGGAAGAAGGGCUUCGGGUUGUAAAGCUCUGUCGAGUGGGACGAAAAUGCUUGGAGUUCACAGCUCCAGGAACUGACGGUACCACUAAAGGAAGCACCGGCUAACUCCGUG